AUGAACGCUGGCGGCGUGCCUAAUCCCUGCAAGUCGAGCGCACAGAUGAGGAGCUUGCUCCUCUGACGUUAGCGGCGGACGGGUGAGUAACACGUGGAUAACCUACCUAUAAGACUGGGAUAACUUCGGGAAACCGGAGCUAAUACCGGAUAAUAUAUUGAACCGCAUGGUUCAAUAGUGAAAGACGGUUUUGCUGUCACUUAUAGAUGGAUCCGCGCCGCAUUAGCUAGUUGGUAAGGUAACGGCUUACCAAGGCAACGAUGCGUAGCCGACCUGAGAGGGUGAUCGGCCACACUGGAACUGAGACACGGUCCAGACUCCUACGGGAGGCAGCAGUAGGGAAUCUUCCGCAAUGGGCGAAAGCCUGACGGAGCAACGCCGCGUGAGUGAUGAAGGUCUUCGGAUCGUAAAACUCUGUUAUUAGGGAAGAACAAAUGUGUAAGUAACUAUGCACGUCUUGACGGUACCUAAUCAGAAAGCCACGGCUAACUACGUG
rnacentral:rRNA from 1 species